rnacentral:rRNA from 1 species
AGUGAACGCUGGCGGCAUGCCUUACACAUGCAAGUCGAACGGUAACAGGUCUUCGGAUGCUGACGAGUGGCGAACGGGUGAGUAAUACAUCGGAACGUGCCCGAUCGUGGGGGAUAACGAAGCGAAAGCUUUGCUAAUACCGCAUACGAUCUACGGAUGAAAGCAGGGGACCGCAAGGCCUUGCGCGGACGGAGCGGCCGAUGGCAGAUUAGGGAGUUGGUGGGAUAAAAGCUUACCAAGCCGACGAUCUGUAGCUGGUCUGAGAGGACGACCUGCCACACUGGGACUGAGACACGGCCCAGACUCCUACGGGAGGCAGCAGUGGGGAAUUUUGGACAAUGGGCGCAAGCCUGAUCCAGCCAUGCCGCGUGCAGUAUGAAGGCCUUCGGGUUGUAAACUGCUUUUGUACGGAACGAAACGGCUCUUUCUAAUAAAGAGGGCUAAUGACGGUACCGUAAGAAUAAGCACCGGCUAACUACGUGCCAGCAGCCGCCGUAACAC